AUAUAGCGCAUCAGAGUGCUAUCGGAGGGGAAGUGGAUAGUAUGAAGCAUUGGGGCGGGAUGGAGUGACGCCCGCUUAUAAGAGUAAAUCCUCCUUGCCUCAAUGAAUUUGUAUCACCCGAAUCUCAUUCUCAAGGCGUGUACAUGUCUCUCCUCAGACUGGGUUAAACACUAUACCUAGUUUUUUGUAGUUCUUGUUUUUAGUCGAUAUAAGUUAACAGGUAAUACAUUAGGUAUACACCUAUUAAGUAGGUAUAUGUUUUGAUCUCGACCCUCGUAAGAAAAUAUUUGUUAAAUCCUUAUUGAAUCGCGUCCUCUUCCGAAAAUGUCACCGCACGCCACUGCAAAACAGUCUGUUUACUAAAAGCGGGUGCGCGCAUUGCGAAAUCGUAAUAUAUGUUUGUCCUGCUUACACUCAUAACAACUUACUAGCGCUGUGUCAUGAAUGUGCUUGCAUAGGAAACUGUGUGGUAAUCUGAUUUAAAAUUAUCACCAAAUUACUUGUAUCACCAAUAUACCUUUCCUUGCUCUAUAAUUAUUUAAAAAUCAAUGGGAAUAUCCUUUCAAAAUCAAUGGUAUACAGCUGGCUGUAUACCAUAAUUAAAAAAUCAUACAGAAAUUAAAAGUCAUCCAAAAGGAUUCGCAAAUCGUUUUAGAUCUAGAUCAGAUCAUCUUCAGUGCGUUCUGCUUAGUACAUGAAACUAGCAACCUUAUGAAAUUGGUAACAUCGAGAAAUAUGGUUUACAUGAUACUUUUAUAAUAUUUAUAGCGACUCCAAGUCGAUGUUAAAAGAUUGAAUAUGUUAGGAGUGCUGAGUUAGGAAUAUGAGAGGAAGGGCAACAUGGUUCCCUGCUCGAUAAAAACUUGUGGUUCUUGCCACUUCAAUGGACACAGACCAACGUUGGUCGUUGGUAUCCAACAUCCAUAGACUUUUGUCGUCACUUCCCUCUGAAUGACAAUCUGUCUAUGAUAAUAUACGACACCAUUUUUUUAAUUGGCUCAGUGCUGUUUCACUCUUACGCAUAGUAAAGUUGCGACAGUAGUCCUCCCCUUCCCUGCCUAUACUCACAUUUAAUGUAAUCGUAGUUUCUCGAUACAAUGUGCUAGAAAAAUAUACCGCAAACCUGUCCAAGAGAUCUUAUCGUCAGGAAGCGCGGAUGGUAGGCUCACUCUAUGUUAAUAUACAUAUACCUCUAUGUUAACAAUCGCCAAACUUGGCUUCUUCUUUCUCUUUUUAUUGGCUUGCAUACUUGUGCAUCUGCCAGUACAUGUGGUUGUAACGCUAAUAUACCUUAGAAUACUGUCACCUUUCAUUAUUAUUAUUAUGUAUAUUUUCCAUUUCUACUAGACAUUAAAUGAGGUUAGAUCAUAGUUUUCGACCAAUAACAAUGACGUAUUAUUGUUUUCGACACACUGAUCACUGGGUAGGUAUAAAUAAAAGAAUACCUAUGUGUAUGCACAUACUACAUUUAAUUCACUUGUGUUGAGAGGUAUUAUUAGUGUAAAACAAAUAGCUUAAUAGGGCUUUUCAUCGAUUGUCAUUUUUGUUUCGAGCUUCUGCCAUGUGUCACAUAAUAUUAAUAUAUCUACGUCAUACGUCUUUGGUUUGUAUCAUGGGUAUAUACCAAUAACGUACGACGUAGAUAUAUUAAUAUUAUGUGACACAUAACAGAAGCUCGAAACAGAUGACUGUGAAUGAAAAGCCCUAUACAAAAAAUUUAAACUUUUCUCGCUCCGAGGCAACGGCAGAGCUUUUCAGAAACCGAAAUGUUGCUUCUGUAUAACAAGUACCUACUCAGUAGGGUACUACUUUACUUAUUAGAAUAUGUCACUCGAUAUAAAACGUAAAGUAUGCAUGAAUAAUUCGCGUAAUUUCUCGGAGUUAUACAAUAUAUUUCAUGGUGUAAUACAGAUAUAUGUAUUAUAUUUAAUGGCUGUAAAGGUUCAGAUGUAUAUACACGUAUGUCCUUCUGAUGGGUUAGUUAUUUAGAUAAAGAUGUUUGUGAUAUUUUAUGACUUCAUAUAGUUCUGGGUUUGGGGUUACUAAUUAUUAUUUUGAUGUUUUUGUUUUAAAACCUCUUUAAUUUUAUUAUGUAUGUGGUCAUAAUAUUGCGCUCUUCUUUUAUUUGAAAUUGAAGAAAUUUUGAUUAUUUCUGUUGUAUUAAAAUUAUGUUACAUCCAAUUCAAAUGAGUAAAAAAUUAUUAAUUUUUUGAGGAAACAUUAGGGAAUAUUAUUUUUAUACACAAAUAACGUGUAUUACCUAUUACAUCCAAUGGAAAUUAACACAAUUUUAAUUGGAAAUACGUUUAUGUUGACGUUUUGAUUUUUUACUUCUAAAAUCUUUCUCAAAACACAAAUUAAAAAAUCGUGUAAUUGAAAACGUGUUUUCAAUUAAAAUUGUGUUGUAAUUCCCAUUCAAUGAACACAGAAAUGGCGCCUUUUUAUAUUCAUGGUUUUCAUGAUAAGUGGUUGGAGAAUAAAAUCUUUUAAAUAUCAGUUAUCAAAAUAGUUAUCAACAAAGGUUGUCUUGAAUUAAUUGCCGUUACAAUGUUAUUAGGUUAUUUGGAUAGGCACCACUAAUUUUCUCUGACAGAUGUCAUUAAGGUAGCCACCGCUAAUGUUUAUUGAAUGCGGAUUUAGACGUCAUUAAUGUUGUGAGAUAUAAGUCUUCGCUAACACUUAUUGAGUAGGUAUGGGUCUUCAAUAUCAAUAGUGACUGAUAGCGAAGUGCCAAACCAGCUUUUAUCUGCUACGUUGCUUAGUUGCACACAUUUUUCUUUGUCUUUCCCCCCUUGUUAUUUCAAGUGCACAUAACUCUGGAGUGCUCGUAACUAUCAUACUGGAGGCAAUACUAGUUCCUGGAUCAAGGCACUGAUUUCUGCAUGAUUUUAAGCGGCUCCUUCUCCUACUUGUAGGAGAGAACUAUUGGGCGACUCACUUGGCACAGAAUAUCCGUGGGGCUUGAUCAUCCACAGUGCCAGCAGGCGGUCGAUCAAAUGGAUGUAUUCCAAUUUUUUUGAAUCCUGAAAUUAAAUUGGAAGCUGUCAUGCUUUUUCGAUAAGCUGCGUUCACGAAGGAUGCUGCAUUAUAAAUUGAUGCCGUUUGAUGCCUUAAAAUAAGUCGUCAUUAUAAUAAGACAUAAAAGUCCCGAGGACAGCAAUAUAUACUGAUUGCAUUUUAUUCGAUGAAUGGGGAGGUAAAGUCAAAACUGAAACGCCAUUUUCCUUACAUAGUAUGAGACCUUCCAGGGAUAAAUGGUUUUCUACGUUGUCAUAAAUUAAUAGAGCAGGGUUCUCUCCAGAACAGCAGAUUUAGCGAAUGAAAUGCUUAGUAACUUCCACAAAUAGUUCUGAUGUCACCCAACCAGAAGGAAUGGCUAAGCCUAAUGUGCCUUGAAAUGCUCCUUAAGUCAUAUGUUCCUUAAAAUUGACAGAUUGUCCUGAAGAAGCAGUAGGAUUGGUACUUAAACUGCUUCUUUGGUCCUUAUUGAAUAAAAACUCUAUUUCGGGACAGAGAACAUUAUAUUUACAAUUGACAAUCGGUGUCGACUCACAACCGUCAAUAAUUACAUUACUGAUACUGAUCUAACACACUAUUUCAAAAUACCCAUGUCUUAUAAUAAUAUAUGAAUCUCCGUGUCUUUUCACUAUUCUGUAUUUAUACCAAUCAACCUGUAACAACAGCACGUCGAGUUCAAUGUCAUGUUUACUUCGUUACUGUCGCGAUAAGGUUAAUACGAGUUAAAACAAUAAUACGGUUAUUCGAAAUUAAGCGUAAAACAUAUUUUAUACAGAGUGUCAUAAUAUCACUACAAGGUGAAAAAAUCAUCACUGGCAAAAUAGUGCUCGCAGAUGCACAAAUUAUGGAUAUUGUGGUGAUGUUAGUGCCUUUUCCUCCACUUGUGACUUUGCACACUUCAUCGACACCUUUUUCAGCCAUUACUCGUUGGGGUUUUUGUACAGUUGAUGUGGCCGUUUCAUCUAAAUUGAACUCAUUUGUCCUAUCACCAAAUUCUGUCCUUUCUGCCAUCACCAAAUUUUGGAUGCUGUUUGUACGACUUUUCCAAAUUAUUGAAAGUCUACGAAAACCGUGUACAUAUUUUAAGACAAUAAGAUCACUAUCGAUAGUGAUACAAUGAAUCGUAUAUUGUUCUAAAGAUUGUACCUGCUAUUCGUAGGCUUUAAGACCCACAAGAAUAUGGUGGACCCAGAAAUAACCUGAAUGGAGAUAGGUGCCACUUUUUUACUUCUUUCCUAUUUCUUAAUUUUUAAAAUUAUAAUGAAUAAUUUAAAUUACACGUAAAGCAAGUUGAGAAAUUCGUUAAUCAAGAAAAUUCAACAAUAUUUUAUAUUUAAAAAACUUUCGUUUCAUUUUACAUAGUUUUAAUAUGCAUUCAAAUUUUUAACUCAUUUGAAUUUAGAAGUGAUUUUUAUUUUAGAACUUGUAUUGGAAUACUUUUUGAUUUUGGUGCGUCUUUAAGACAUACAACUUUUCUUCAAUUUUUAGCUAGAUCAGUGGGAAUAACAGAUUUCGUAUUUUCAGUGGAAUUGAAAAUAUAUAAAUCGAUGUACAUAUUAUAAAAUAUUUCGAAAUGUUUGUAUAUAUUCUAUCGUGUAAAUGAAUAUUGUAAUUUAUUCUAUUAGAGGCAACAAAUUUGUAUAUAAGAAAAUUGCAUUCCGUUUUCAGUAUGGUAUCUAAGACCGAUUUUAUAAUAUUAAACUUAUCAUGAACAUAUAUGGCACAUCUAAAGUGAUAGUCAACUGACGAGUAUCUUUGUUAUUUGCAACAUUUGCCAAAUAUUCGAUAAAUUCAAAUUAAUUAUUUUUUCACACCCGUAAGUGAGGGUACUUCUUGUUAUGGGUGUGAAAAUUGCACAAUAAAUAAGAAAACCAAAAAUAAAAUAAGAGCAACAGAGAUGGAAUUCCUAAGGAGAAGCUGCAGAGUAACAAGGAGAGAUAAAAUAAAUAACAUAUAGAUUAGGAGAAGAAUGGGAGUGAACUCAGACACAAUAGACUACAUCGAACAGAAGGAACAGAAGACAUUAACCUGGUACGGACAUGUCAGAAGAGCAGACCAAAAUCGUUGGAUAUACCGAAUAACAGAGUGGAGCCCGAUAAGAAAAAGGAAGAGAUGCAAACCCCGAAGAUCCUUUAGAGAUGAAGUGGACGAAGCAAUGGAGAGAAGAAAUCUACAGGAAGGGGACUGAAAAGACAGAAAGAGCUGGAGAGAACGGUUGAGUAAAGGAAUACAGUGAAAACUGUGGAAAUCCUUAAUAUAUGAAUUAUUUUUACUACAAAAUAAUUCAACAGGUUGAGUGCGAAGCGUUUUUCUGUAAACUUCGAAGUAUUGUGUAUACAGGUAUGGAAAAAAAUUAUCUGACUAUAGGACAUUGACAACGCAACGAACUGAGAAAAAAUAUUAAUAUGGACUCGUAUGUCCGAGAGAAUAACAUCUAACCACAUGUCUGUGAUAGACGCGUAAGCACUAUGUGCACAAUGUGCAGUCUUGUCUGUACAUUGUUGCCGAAAGAAAGUUUAUUUUUUAGAUGGUCUGGGGAAAUAUUUCAACGAUGUGAUUACAAGAUUAUAAAAA
rnacentral:lncRNA from 1 species